rnacentral:rRNA from 1 species
UAAGGAAUAUUGGUCAAUGGACGAAAGUCUGAACCAGCCAUGCCGCGUGGAGGAUGAAGGUCCUCUGGAUUGUAAACUUCUUUUAUAGGGGACGAAAAAAGGGUUUUUUAACUCGUCUGACGGUACCUUAUGAAUAAGCACCGGCUAACUCCGUGCCAGCAGCCGCGGUAAUACGGAGGGUGCAAGCGUUAUCCGGAUUCACUGGGUUUAAAGGGUGCGUAGGCGGGCAGGUAAGUCAGAGGUGAAAUCUCCGGGCUCAACCCGGAAACUGCCUUUGAUACUAUCGGUCUUGAAUAUGGUGGAGGUAAGCGGAAUAUGUCAUGUAGCGGUGAAAUGCUUAGAGAUGACAUAGAACACCCAUUGCGAAGGCAGCUUACUACGCCUAUAUUGACGCUGAGGCACGAAAGCGUGGGGAUCAAACAG